UGUUUAGGUAAUGCGGCCUACUGCGAUAAACAGGAUCCCAAUCAUAAUGUAAUUGUUGCUGGCAAAACAGACGUUACGUUUCACAAGUUUUGUGUAUUUGUGUAUCCUAGACCAACUGUACUGGCUGUUUAUACAGGUGCCAACGAGCAUAUCAAGGAGUCUAGACACGACGUCAAUUUCACUUACAUUGAUGAGACAUCAGCUCGAGGUGAAAUUGACAUCAGACUCUACAACGUGACGUCAUCUGAUCAUGGAGCAUAUUUUUUUUU
rnacentral:sRNA from 1 species